UUACAUUCUAAACAAACUUUACUAUGAAAAUGCAGGGUUUUGAGACGUACGCACAACGCAUGCGCACUGUGGCUACAACAGGACCGACUUUCUGUGUCCAGACGUCUGAGGAUCACAGAGCAACAUGUAGCACUUAAGUCAUUUCACAGAUCAAAGAGGAAUUCAGGAGAACAACAACCAUUCCAGUGGAUCAAACCAGGCAAAAACUUGACAAAUACACACGAAAGCUGAUGAAAGCCAGGGGAGGAGUUUUGGGGCCCAAGACGAGUUUGCUCCUGGACCGACUGAGUCAGUUUACGAUGGCUAAAGCGAUGGCAGUGGUCAGAGGCCACUCUUUAAUAAACAACUGAAAAGAGAAAGAAGUUUGGUUAUUGGAGUGUCGUUGUCUGGCUGUCUAGCCGGCUGAAAAGUUGGGAAAACUCAGGGCGAGGACAGCACAGUGAUGUCAGUAACUCUGUUUUCAAAAUCUGACAGCUAUGAGAUUGUCCCAGGAUGCAAGAGUACAGCGAAAGCUUGUCCACUGCUUAUGGGACUGAUUUAUGCCCUGAACUGUGCAUACCCUCCUAUUUUGUGCUACACUUUUAAAGUCCUCUAAGAACUCUUGCUGGAGAUGGAUCAAUUUAAACUCUACACAAAAGAAAACACCCUGAAGUGAAAGUUACUGUCAUGAUUCUGUCUUCCUAGAGGAGGAAAAUAUUUCUGUAAUGAAUGUUUUAACUCUGACAGUGUUGUAAACUUUUCACUACAUAUUUAAAAAACACUGUUCCAGUUUGAAUGUAAAAUUUAUCACUGCCCUAUAAAGAAAUUUAGAAAUUGAAUUCACACUACUAGUGGAGUUACUUAUUUGUGAAGCCGUUUCUUUAAUGCAUAGAGUAUUGCUUCAUUUUAUUUGUAAACAUUUAUCCAGAGACAACUGGCAUCAAAUAUAUUGU